CACGGUUUGGGCUGCGGGUUCCGAGCUCUCCGUGGCAUUUGGGACACCCCGAGGGCUCAUCCCAAGGGAUCCCCUGGAAAAUGAGGUUAUUUGAAGAAGUAUCCGGAUCGUGAGGGCGUUGGGAGCCUGGAGAUGAGGUCACAAAAUCCUGGAAUGGUUUGGGUUGGAAAGGUCCUAAAAUCUCCUCCAGCCCCACCCCUUCACACCUUCCUCUAUCCCAGGAUGUUCCAGCCCGGCCUCGGACAUUCCCAGGGAUCCAGGGGCAGCCCCAGCUCCUCCAGACACCCCAGUUUGGGCUGGAAAUGACCUCUGAAGGUCACCCAGUCCGACACCUCCAUGGGCAGCUGUCCUGGAGCCCAAAUCCCUGGAAUUCCAGGAAAAUCCCUGUUGGAUCCCCGGCCCUCAGCAGGCUCAGGGAGAGAGGAACUGGCUCCAUGGGGUCGGUCCUGGCCCAGUUAAAUCCCCAAAUAAACUUUUCUGGAUCUCGGAAUCCCAGCCCUCCUGUCGGGAGUGGAACACGACGGGGCAGGAUUCGGCACCUUGGGGAUUUUCAUCCUGGACAGGGACAGCAUUCCGGAAUUAAAUUCCAGAGGAGCCCUCACUGGGCCAGCCUGGAAAGGCAAAGCCCUAUUUUCCCACUUUCCAAUGGGAAUCCAGGAAAACAAACCAUGGGAACGGCCAAAAAUCCUCAUUUUCACCUUUUCCAUUGGAAAUCCAGAAAAACAAACCAUGGGAAUGGCCAAAAAACCCCAUUUUCCCAUUUUCCAUUGGGAAUCCAGGAAAACAACGAUGGGAACGGCCAAAAAAUCCUCAUUUUCACCUUUUCCAAUGGAAAUCCAGGAAAUCAACCCAUGGGAAUGGCCAAAAAUCCUCAUUUUCACCUUUUCCAAUGGGAAUCCAGGAAAACAACCCAUGGGAACGGCCAAAAAUCCUCAUUUUCCCAUUUUCCCCUGGGAACCCAGAAAACAAACCAUGGGAAUGGCCAAAAAUCCUCAUUUUCACCUUUUCCAUUGGGA
rnacentral:lncRNA from 13 species